GACAGAGGGGGCAAGCGUUGCUCGGAAUCACUGGGCGUAAAGGGCGCGUAGGCGGGUCAGUAAGUCAGUCGUGAAAUCUACGGGCUCAACCCGGAGGGGACGGCUGAGACUGCUGAUCUUGAGGGGAGCAGAGGAGUCUGGAAUUCCCGGUGUAGCGGUGAAAUGUGUAGAGAUCGGGAGGAACACCGGUGGCGAAGGCGGGGCUCUGGGCUCGACCUGACGCUGAGGCGCGAAAGCGUGGGGAGCAAACGGG
rnacentral:rRNA from 1 species